GAUGAACGCUGGCGGCGUGCCUAAUACAUGCAAGUCGAGCGAACAGGCGAGGAGCUUGCUCCUCUGACGUUAGCGGCGGACGGGUGAGUAACACGUGGAUAACCUACCUAUAAGACUGGGAUAACUUCGGGAAACCGGAGCUGAUACCGGAUAAUAUAUUGAACCGCAUGGUUCAAUAGUGAAAGACGGUUUUGCUGUCACUUAUAGAUGGAUCCGCGCCGCAUUAGCUAGUUGGUAAGGUAACGGCUUACCAAGGCAACGAUGCGUAGCCGACCUGAGAGGGUGAUCGGCCACACUGGAACUGAGACACGGUCCAGACUCCUACGGGAGGCAGCAGUAGGGAAUCUUCCGCAAUGGGCGAGAGCUUGACGGAGCAACGCCGCGUGAGUGAUGAAGGUCUUCGGAUCGUAAAACUCUGUUAUUAGGGAAGAACAAAUGUGUAAGUAACUAUGCACGUCUUGACGGUACCUAAUCAGAAAGCCACGGCUAACUACGUG
rnacentral:rRNA from 1 species